AGUAACUGCGAGUGAAGCGGCAAGAGCUCAAAUUUGAAAUCUGGCGUCUCCGGCGUCCGAGUUGUAAUCUGGAGAGGCAUCUUCGGAGGUAGGGCCCGUCCUAAGUUCCUUCGAACAGGACAUCACAGAGGGUGAGAAUCCCGUGCCUGGACGGACGCCCUCCUCCAGUGAAGUGUCUUCGACGAGUCGAGUUGUUUGGGAAUGCAGCUCAAAAUGGGUGGUAAACGUCAUCUAAAGCUAAAUACUGGCGAGAGACCGAUAGCGCACAAGUAGAGUGAUCGAAAGAUGAAAAGCACUUUGAAAAGAGAGUAAAACAGUACGUGAAAUUGUUGAAAGGGAAGCGCUUGAGAUCAGAUCUGUCUGCGGAUAAUCUCCCAUGUCCUCAUGGGAGCUCUUGCCAUGGACGGAACCAGCAUCGGUUUUGGCGGUGGGAUAAAAGGUGGGGGAAUGUGGCUCCUGCUCAGGGAGUGUUAUAGUCCUCAUCACAAUGCCACCAGCUGGGACCGAGGACCGCGCUUCGGCAAGGAUGCUGGCAUUAUGGUCUUAAGCGACCCGUCUUGAAACACGGACCAAGGAGUCUAACAUCUGUGCGAGUGUUCGGGUGCAAAACCCUUGCGCGUAAUGAAAGUGAACGGAGGUGGGAACCUGCAAGGGUGCACCAUCGACCGAUCCUGAUGUCUUCGGAAGGAUUUGAGUAAGAGCACAGCUGUUGGGACCCGAAAGAUGGUGAACUAUGCCUGAAUAGGGUGAAGCCAGAGGAAACUCUGGUGGAGGCUCGCAGCGGUUCUGACGUGCAAAUCGAUCGUCAAAUUUGGGUANAGG
rnacentral:rRNA from 1 species